rnacentral:rRNA from 1 species
GACGAACCGAGCGCACGUUGUUCGGAACCACUGGGCUUAAAGGGCGCGUAGGCGGGUGCUCAAGUCCGUGGUGAAAUCCUCCGGCUCAACCGGAGAACUGCCUCGGAUACUGGGUGCCUCGAGGGUGGUAGGGGUAUGCGGAACUAUCGGUGGAGCGGUGAAAUGCGUUGAUAUCGAUAGGAACUCCGGUGGCGAAGGCGGCAUACUGGACCACCUCUGACGCUGAGGCGCGAAAGCCAGGGGAGCAAACGGG